AUGACUAACGGCAACCUGCGUGAGUGCCUGGACGACCUCAACCGGAAGCCCAUGGACUGGGCGACGCGCGUCCGCGUGGCACUGGGCGCGGCGAGGGGCCUGGAGUACCUCCACGAGGCGGCGGCGCCGCGCAUCCUCCACUGGGACAUCAAGUCCACCAACAUCCUGCUGGACGACCGGUUCAGGGCCCGGAUCACGGACCUGGGCAUGGCCAAGUGCCUGAUGAACGACGGCGUGACCAGCUGCUCCAGCUCGCCGGCGCGCAUGCUGGGCACCUUCGGGUACUUCGCCCCCGAGUACGCCAUCGUCGGCAAGGCGUCGCUCAAGUCCGACGUGUUCAGCUUCGGCGUGGUGGUGCUGGAGCUCAUC
rnacentral:rRNA from 1 species